rnacentral:rRNA from 1 species
UGCGUAGGUGGCGCCGUAAGUCGGGUGUGAAAUUUCGGAGCUUAACUCCGAAACUGCAUUCGAUACUGCGGUGCUUGAGGACUGGAGAGGAGACCGGAAUUCAUGGUGUAGCAGUGAAAUGCGUAGAGAUCAUGAGGAAGACCAGUGGCGAAGGCGGGUCUCUGGACAGUUCCUGACACUGAGGCACAAGGGCCAGGGAGCGAACG